CACCACACCCGACGACGACGACGACGAAACGCUUGUGCGCGCCAUCCAGCGAAGAAAUAUGAAAACAUUACCAUUCGAGGCCUUACACGGUAUCUUCUUUAUUGAGGCCAUUGUCACACAAGAUAAUGCGGCAGCAGCAGUGACCGAGAGCUCCACAUUCGAAUUUCCAUUGUCCUUAUAUGGACAGCACGCUCUAUACGAUGGUAAGCUCGCGUGCGCGUAUAGAGCUCCUAUCAAACAUUGCCUUUUAUGGACUCGCAUCACUCGAUUUCAUUGAAAUACUAAGUGAGCAACAAAUGUUUCGUAAUUUCGAUCCUCCCUCUGUCACGCUCGCCAAAUUUAAUGAAAAUAAUUUCAUUAUACGCAUGCACCAUAUGCAUUCUUCCCCUCCUCUCUGCUGCGCGCAUACAUGUAUAUAUUUACGAAAGAAAGAAAAUGUAAACGUGGCAUAAAAAACCGGUUGAAAUAAAUUUCCACGCUCGCUCAAGAGUAUAA